rnacentral:rRNA from 1 species
GAUGAACGCUAGCUACAGGCUUAACACAUGCAAGUCGAGGGGAAACGACAUCGAAAGCUUGCUUUUGGUGGGCGUCGACCGGCGCACGGGUGAGUAACGCGUAUCCAACCUGCCCACCACUUGGGGAUAACCUUGCGAAAGUAAGACUAAUACCCAAUGAUAUCUCUAGAAGACAUCUGAAGGAGAUUAAAGAUUCAUCGGUGAUGGAUGGGGAUGCGUCUGAUUAGCUUGUUGGCGGGGUAACGGCCCACCAAGGCAACGAUCAGUAGGGGUUCUGAGAGGAAGGUCCCCCCACAUUUGGGAACUGAGACACGGUCCAAACUCCUACGGGAGGCAGCAGUGAGGAAUAUUGGUCAAUGGGGCGAGAGCCUGAACCAGCCAAGUAGCGUGCAGGAUGACGGCCCUAUGGGUUGUAAACUGCUUUUAUAAGGGAAUAAAGUGAGUCUCGUGAGACUUUUUGCAUGUACCUUAUGAAUAAGGACCGGCUAAUUCCGUGCCAGCAGCC